rnacentral:lncRNA from 1 species
GCUGCUCACAGGAUGCUGCUCUCAGGGAUGCUGCUCUCAGGGGUGCUGCUCACAGGGAUGCUGCUCACAGGGAUGGUGCUCUCAGGGAUGCUGCUCACAGGAUGCUGCUCUCAGGGGUGCUGCUCUCAGGAUGGUGCUCUCAGGGAUGCUGCUCUCAGGGAUGCUGCUCACAGGAUGCUGCUCUCAGGGAUGCUGCUCUCAGGGGUGCUGCUCACAGGGAUGCUGCUCACAGGGAUGGUGCUCUCAGGGAUGCUGCUCACAGGGAUGCUGCUCACAGGGAUGCUGCUCACAGGGAUGGUGCUCACAGGGGUGCUGCUCUCAGGGAUGCUGCUCACAGGGAUGGUGCUCUCAGGGAUGCUGCUCACAGGGAUGCUGCUCUCAGGGAUGCUGCUCACAGGGAUGC